CUUGAUGGAGCCGAGCAGCAGCGGCCGUCCCGGCUCCCGGUCCUGCCCGUAGGUGGCGAGCAGGGCCUGGGCCUC
rnacentral:antisense_RNA from 1 species